CCUACGGGUGACAGCAGUGGGGAAUUUUGCGCAAUGGGCGAAAGCCUGACGCAGCCACACCGCGUGAAUGUUGAACCCUUCCGGGUGUAAAAUUCUUUCCAUAGGGGCGGAUUUUAGCUGUAUUUAUAAAGUAGGCACCUGCUAACUCCGUGCCAGCAGCCGCGGUAAUACGGGGGGUGCAAGCGUUGGCCGGAAUAAUUGGGCGUAAAGCGUUCGUAGGCGGCUAGGUAAGUCAGAUGUUAAAGCCCCGGGCUCAACUUCGGUUCGGCAUUGGAUACUAUCUAGCUAGAAUGUGGUAGAGGUAAAGAGAAUUCCAGGUGUAGCGGUGAAAUGCGUAGAGAUCAGGAGGAAUACCGGUGGCGAAAGCGCUCCACUGGACCAGUAUUGACGCUGAGGAACGAAAGCCAGGGGAGCAAACGGGAUUAGAUACCCCGGUAGUC
rnacentral:rRNA from 1 species